GGUCCGCUGGCUCAAUGGUAGAGCGUCUGACUACGAAUCAGGAGGUUCCAGGUUCGAGACCUGGGUGGAUCG
rnacentral:tRNA from 1 species